rnacentral:rRNA from 1 species
GGAGAGUGCAAGCGUUGUUCGGAAUUAUUGGGCGUAAAGCGCGUGUAGGUGGCUCAACAAGUCUGGCGUGAAAGCCCGGGGCUCAACUCCGGAAGUGCGCUGGAAACUGUCGAGCUUGAGUACCGGAGGGGAGAGCGGAAUUCACGAGUGUAGAGGUGAAAUUCGUAGAUAUUCGGAAGAACAUCAGUGGCGAAGGCGGCUCUCUGGACGGAUACUGACACUGAGACGCGAAAGCGUGGGGAGCAAACAGGAUUAGAUACCCUGGUAGUCCACGCUGUAAACGAUGGGUGCUAGUUGUCGCGGGUAACCAACCCCGCGGUAACGAAGCUAACGCGAUAAGCACCCCGCCUGGGGAUUACGGCCGCAAGGCUA